rnacentral:rRNA from 1 species
AACGAACGCUGGCGGCGUGGAUUAGGCAUGCAAGUCGAACGCGAAAGAGGGGGCAACUCCUCGAGUAGAGUGGCGAACGGGUGAGUAACGCGUGAAGAACCUGCCUUCAACAGGGGGAUAACACUCCCAACGGGGUGCUAAUACCGCAUGAGACCACGGGUCCGCAUGGACCUGAGGUCAAAGGUGGCCUCUGCUUGCAAGCUACCGGUUGAAGAUGGCUUCGCGUCCCAUUAGCUAGUUGGCGGUGUAAAAGACCACCAAGGCGACGAUGGGUAGCUGGUCUGAGAGGACGAUCAGCCACACUGGGACUGAGACACGGCCCAGACUCCUACGGGAGGCAGCAGUGGGGAAUUUUGGACAAUGGGCGAAAGCCUGAUCCAGCAAUGCCGCGUGCAGGAUGAAGGCCUUCGGGUUGUAAACUGCUUUUGUACGGAACGAAAAGCCCUGUGUUAAUACCCUGGGGUCAUGACGGUACCGUAAGAAUAAGCACCGGCUAACUACGUGCCAGCCGCCGCCGUAAUAC